AGACCUCCUCAGCCCUGGUCCUUCUUGCAGGGUUUACCCACCCUAAUGCAGCCCAGGGGCAACUUGGUCUCCUAAACCCCAAACCACCACGUUGCUUUCCAGCCGGUUGUCCCAAGGCCGACCUGCUGCAUGGGGUGGGCUGGAACUGGAUGAUCUUUAAGGUCCCUCCCUUCCAACCCAAACCAUUCUGUGAUUCUCUGGCUACCAGGGUGCAGGACACGUGGAUUUUGGGAAGCAGCUCUUUGGUUUAGGGAUGAAGGGUUGGACACGAAGGGGUUGGGAUGAAAGGCCGGGAUGAAAGGUUGGUUGGACAACGCCAACCCACGCCAGCCUCAAAGCAACAGGCGGCACCGAGAACAAGCACACACAAAAGAAGAGCGACGUGACACCACCAAACACAUCUAGGCUGUCCGAGACGCUAAAGCAAAUCCCUACCACCUGCUUUACACCUUCGAGGACCUCGGGAGGGGACAGCGAGUGUGGCCGUGUCAGACGCUGCGGCCGAUCGGCGCUCGAAGGUUCCAACCACCCGGCUGCAGGCAACGCGGGGGUUUUACAUGGAAUUCCCUUCUCAUCACCCGAAACCCAAAAAGCUUUAAACCAGACGAACUAACGAAGAAACACUGAAGAAAUGAGGAUCAGAACGACGAGCACGACUGAAACAAGUUUCAUCCUUAUGUUUGGUACGGCUCUUCCGCAUUAAAGGUACUCCAAGUCGUCUGGAAAUGCCUUUAUGCAACUCCGAAGACACAGCGUAGGUUCGCUGGUUGAAUGAUCCUCGAAUCCUGUGGUUUAGGUAAACUUUUCCCUACAGCCGACCUCUUCAGCGCUGUACAAGACACAGGCGAGGUCGCAACUGCUCCUCAAGAUACUCGGUUACGGCACGCCUCGUUCCCCUGAAAUAAUUAGCAGUUAAAAGGCGAUAAACGAUGCCGCACGGGGAGCAGACGGACAAAUGGAUGGACAGACCGAAGCGAACGGACCACUUUGUGGACAAGGAACCGGCUGGAUGGCUGCACUCAAAGGGUUGUGGCCAACGUCCACGUGGCGACCAGUGACGAGCUGCGUUCCUCAGGGGUCGGUACUGGGACCAGUGCUGUUUAACGUCUUUGUUGGUGACGUGGACAGCGGGAUUGAGGGCACCCUCAGCAAGUUUGCCGAUGACACCAAGCUGAGUGGCGCGGUCAACACGCUGGAGGGACAGGAUGGCAUCCAGAGGGACCUGGACAGGCUGGAGAGGACAAGAAGAGCCACGCGGGGAAACUCUGCUCAGACGCAGGACUGUCUGCGACGGCCAGUGCAGCGCGGAGAGAUGCCUCCCAGGAGCACAACGGCUAAAACACUUCAGGGAACCUGGGAUUUACAUUAAAAACAACCUGGACAACACAGGUAAGAGCCCAGAGAAACCACAGCAGAGGAAAACAAACCCCAAGACUUUCCCCAGGCAGCGAGAUCCCAUCCUUACAGGGUGGUUGGGGUAUUAAAAAACCAAAACACGUCCCAAAUGCUUCAAGCUGUCCUUUUGAUGGGGCAGUUUGUAGCGAGCGUGAGCAGCCAGAGCGCAGCCCAGACCUCUAAAACACCUUCAGCCUCUUGUCCCGGCGCAGGGCUCAGGUGAAAUCCAUCUUCUUCACCCCCUUGCAUCCCUCGCCCACCCCCCGUUCUCCGCCCUGCCCCAAGGGCUGACCAGGAACUCCUCUGAGCACGUUGCAAAAUGGUUCUAAUCUCCCCCCUGAACGGAUCUGCAUUAAUUGCGGCAUCGUUAACUAACACAGCGCAGAAGCCAGAGUCCUCUGACUGUUCUUGGCCCCCUCGGGCAGGGACUCGGCAGCCAGGAGCUGAGCAAACAGCGGUUUGGGUUGUUUCGGGCAAAGGAAUCAUCUCUGAAAUAACGAUCUCCCUAUUUCAACUGAAACGAGAUCUUCAUACGGGCAUAACCACGGCCGGCGGCUCAGACCCACCGAAGAACCACCGUGGGCUGGGACCAGCAUCGAGCCCCUUCACGGAACCCAAAUUCUGCCCAAGGGCUUUCUGAAGGGUGAAGCCCGUGUCCUGGGGGGGGGCACAGGAGGAAAGCGGCCGCCUAAAUCCCCACACCCCCGACCGACGGGGCUCUCCUCGCUUAGCGGAAUCGCUGCGGAAAGAAACGCUGCUGCAAACUCUCCUGGUAACCGGGGACGUCACCCUGCGCCGCCCGCUCAAGUGAAUUGGGAAAAAAAGUGGGGGGAAAACACGAGUUUGUGGCAACAAAUGGUGUAAAGAUUUAUCAGCCGGUGGGAAGAUGGUGGAGUUGAAGGGAGCUUGGGAGGGCACGGAAGGAAUUCUGCUCCACAGGAUUCAGGCUUCGAGACGGCAGGGCAGUGAG